AUGCCUAGAAGCACAAGGAUUUUGCUGUCUACUUCUUUCUUUUCCCUUGGACCUCCCAAGAUGACUGAGCCAGCCCCAUUCCAUGAGGAAAGGAGAAUGGGAGAAAUGCCUCCACAUUCUGGAAUCCUGAGAGCUAAAGGAGUCUGCAGUGCUGAAUCUUCUAGAUACCUGAACCCUAUGUACUUUUAAACAUCCA
rnacentral:lncRNA from 12 species